AAUAAGAAUUGUAGCCCUUGAAAUUAGCUUUCCAAUGCCGCCAAAAUCACCUAAUUCGGAGUUUGUAUGAGAGAGAUAUGCUCGAAAUCGUGGACACUGUCAAAGCUGUGGCGAGAUUCCUUCUUCCAAUUUGAUUUGUUUCCUUAUUUGCAACUUUUUCCUUUCUUUUUGAUCUUUUUUCCUUCAUGGACACCUAAUUCUCGUUUUUCACCUAUAAAACACAAAAUCAAUCAAUUAAAGCACAAAUA
rnacentral:lncRNA from 1 species